rnacentral:rRNA from 1 species
UACGUAGGGACCAAGCGUUGUUCGGAUUUAUUGGGCGUAAAGAGCUCGUAGGCGGCUUGUCGCGUCGACUGUGAAAACCCGUGGCUCAACCAUGUGGUCUGCAGUCGAUACGGGCAGGCUAGAAUUCGGUAGGGGAGACUGGAAUUCCUGGUGUAGCGGUGAAAUGCGCAGAUAUCAGGAGGAACACCGGUGGCGAAGGCGGGUCUCUGGGCCGAUAUUGACGCUGAGGAGCGAAAGCGUGGGGAGCGAACAGG